rnacentral:pre_miRNA from 1 species
UGGGGGAGGCUGGAUCCUGGGCUGUGUCCCGGCGCCCUGUGCUCCGGGGUCUGUGCUGUUGGAUUCACAGUCCUGGCCAUACAGCCCCCU